rnacentral:rRNA from 1 species
UACAGAGGAUGCAAGCGUUAUCCGGAAUGAUUGGGCGUAAAGCGUCUGUAGGUGGCUUUUUAAGUCCGCCGUCAAAUCCCAGGGCUCAACUCUGGACAGGCGGUGGAAACUACCAAGCUGGAGUACGGUAGGGGCAGAGGGAAUUUCCGGUGGAGCGGUGAAAUGCGUAGAUAUCAGGAGGAACACCGGUGGCGAAGGCGGCUCUCUGGACCGUAACUGACGCUGAGGCGCGAAAGCGUGGGGAGCAAACAGG